rnacentral:rRNA from 1 species
UACGGGGGGGGCAAGCGUUGUUCGGAAUUACUGGGCGUAAAGGGCUCGUAGGCGGCCAACUAAGUCAUACGUGAAGUCCCCCGGCUUAACCGGGGAACUGCGUCUGAUACUGGAUGGCUUGAGUUCGGGAGAGGGAUGCGGAAUUCCAGGUGUAGCGGUGAAAUGCGUAGAUAUCAGGAGGAACACCAGUGGCGAAGGCGGCUUCCUGGCCUGUAACUGACGCUGAGACGCGAAAGCGUGGGGAGCGAACCGG